rnacentral:tRNA from 1 species
GAGGGUAAAGCUCAACUGGUAGAGUGCUUGCUUAGCAUGCAUGAGGUCCUGGGUUCAAUCCCCAGUACCUCCU